AACGAACGCUGGCGGCAGGCCUAACACAUGCAAGUCGAGCGCGCCCCUCGGGGUGAGCGGCGGACGGGUGAGUAACGCGUGGGAACGUGCCCUUUUCUACGGAAUAGCCUCGGGAAACUGAGAGUAAUACCGUAUACGCCCUUUGGGGGAAAGAUUUAUCGGAAAAGGAUCGGCCCGCGUUGGAUUAGGUAGUUGGUGGGGUAAUGGCCUACCAAGCCGACGAUCCAUAGCUGGUUUGAGAGGAUGAUCAGCCACACUGGGACUGAGACACGGCCCAGACUCCUACGGGAGGCAGCAGUGGGGAAUCUUAGACAAUGGGGGCAACCCUGAUCGAGCCAUGCCGCGUGAGUGAUGAAGGCCUUAGGGUUGUAAAGCUCUUCCAGCUGGGAAGAUAAUGACGGUACCAGCAGAAGAAGCCCCGGCUAACUCCGUG
rnacentral:rRNA from 1 species